rnacentral:rRNA from 1 species
AGAGUUUGAUCAUGGCUCAGGACGAACGCUGGCGGCGCGCCUAAAACAUGCAAGUCGAACGAGAAGCCCGGGCUUGCCCGGGUGGACAGUGGCGAACGGGUGAGUAACACGUGAGGAACCUGCCCCGAAGACCGGGACAACGUCGGGAAACCGUUGCUAAUACCGGAUGCCCUCGAAGAAUCGCAUGGUUCAUCGAGGAAAUGGAUUCCGCUUCGGGAUGGCCUCGCGGCCUAUCAGCUUGUUGGUGAGGUAACGGCUCACCAAGGCUUCGACGGGUAGCUGGUCUGAGAGGAUGUCCAGCCACACUGGGACUGAGACACGGCCCAGACUCCUACGGGAGGCAGCAGUUAGGAAUCUUGCGCAAUGGACGAAAGUCUGACGCAGCGACGCCGCGUGCGGGAUGAAGGCCCUCGGGUUGUAAACCGCUUUCAGCAGGGACGAAAUUGACGGUACCUGCAGAAGAAGCCCCGGCCAACUACGUGCCAGCAGCCGCGGUAAUACGUAGGGGGCUAGCGUUGUCCGGAUUUAUUGGGCGUAAAGAGCUCGUAGGUGGUUCGGUAAGUCGGAUGUGAAAUCUCCAGGCUCAACCUGGAGGGGUCAUUCGAUACUGCCGUGACUAGAGUUCGGUAGAGGAGUGUGGAAUUCCUGGUGGAGCGGUGAAAUGCGCAGAGAUCAGGAGGAACACCCGUAGCGAAGGCGGCACUCUGGGCCGAUACUGACACUGAGGAGCGAAAGCGUGGGGAGCGAACAGGAUUAGAUACCCUAGUAGUCC